rnacentral:rRNA from 1 species
CCCUGCCAUUUGUACACACCGCCCGUCGCUCCUACCGAUUGGAUGGUCCGGUGAAAUCUCUGGACGCGCGGCGCAGCCAGCAAUGGGUGCGCCUGCGCGGAGAUUGAUUGAACCUUAUCAUCUAGAGG